rnacentral:rRNA from 1 species
AGUGCUGAACCAGAUAGAAUUAAGAUGUGGAAGAGUGCAGGAUAUAAAGCUAAAGGAGUUAAAAAAGGACCAGGAAGUGUUAAAGCUCAAAUAGAUUAUUUGAAACAAUUAAGAAUACAUGUACAUCCUAGUUGCACUAAUACCAUAAAAGAAAUACAACAAUGGAAAUGGAAACAAGACGAAAGAACUGGAUUAUAUCUUGAUGAACCAGUUGAGUUUAUGGAUGAUGCAAUGGCAGCUCUUAGGUAUUCUAUAGAUAAUAAGCUUAAAAAUAAUGGGGUUAGAAUACUUACUCCAAAUGGAAGAAGGUGAUAAAUUGGAACUAGAUGUAAUAAAAAAGUUAAUUGAACAAACUAAUAGUAAACAUAGUAACUUUGUUAAAAAAGCUGAUGAAGCUGAAAAAUACUAUAAAAAUGAAAAUGACAUUAUAAGAGAUAGAAGCCCUAAUAAUGUUGGCAAAGUAAAUACAGCCAAUAAUCCACUAAGAAAUGCAGAUAAUAGAAUACCAUUUAAUUGGUUUGGAUUUUUAGUGAAUCAAAAAAUAUCAUAUCUAUUUACUUAUCCUCCUACAUUUGAUGUUGGAGAUGAUGGUAUAAAUUCAAAAAUAACUGAUAUUUUAAGCGAUAGAUACCCAAAAGAAGCUAAAACACUUGGCAAAAAUGCUAGUAUAUGCUCUAAAGCAUGGUUACAUGUUUGGGAGGAUGAUAACAACGACUUUCAAUAUACUAAUAUAGACCCUCGCCAAAUAAGAGCAGUAUAUUCAUCAGAUUUAAACAGAAAGCUUCUUGCAGUACUUAGAGAAUAUAAAAAGACUGAUGAUAAAGGAAAAGAAUAUGUAAUUUAUGAGUAUUGGACAGAUGAAUGUUGUUAUACUUAUCAAAAUAAAGAUGGAAAUAGUAAUAUCAAUGGAUUGGAGAUACUUAAUAAAUUUAUAGAGAAAAAUUUAGAUAAUAAACUUGAAACUCAAACUAAUGUAUAUAGACACAAUUUUGGGGAAGUUCCAUUUAUCGAAUUUCUAAACAAUGAUUUAGAGGUAAGAGAUUUAGAUAAUGUUAAACACCUCAUUGAUGUAUAUGACAAAGUUUAUAGCGGUUUUGUGAAUGAUAUUGAAGAUAUACAAGAAGUUAUUUUUGUUCUUACAAACUAUGGAGGUGCAGACUUAACAGAGUUCUUAAAAGGACUUAAAGAAUAUAAAACUAUUGAUUUACAAAGUAGUGGUGCAGAUGAUAAGAGUGGGUUAAGUACAAUUACAAUAAAUAUUCCAAUUGAAGCUCGAGAUUCACUUCUUAAAACAACUGAAAAGCAAAUAUAUGUACAAGGUCAAGGAGUUGACCCUAAACCCGAAAAUUUUGCCAAUACAAGUGGUGUAGCACUCAAAUUCUUGUACACUUUGUUAGAAUUAAAAGCAGGACUUAUGGAAACAGAGUUUAGAUUAGGGUUUGCUAAACUAGUAAGAAUGAUAUGCAGACAUUUAGGAUAUUCGCCUAAAAGAGUUUUACAAACUUGGACUAGGAAUAUGAUUCAAAAUGAUUUAGAACUAGCUGAGAUAUGCUCUAAGAGUGUUGGAAUAAUAUCAGAAAAGACUAAUUUAAAAAAUCAUCCGCUUGUAGAUAAUGCAGAGGAAGAAGAAAAACAGAUUAAAAAAGAAAAGGAAGAUAGCAAUCAAGAAUACAAUAAUGUAAUUCCUAACAAUCAAGAUGGUGUUAUAGAUGAAACAUAAAGAUUAUUGGAAGAAGAGAUUUGAACAAUUAGAAGAAGCACAAAAUAAUAAGAGCAUAAAAUAUUAUCUUGAAUUAGAAAAACAAUAUAAACUAGCUAUGAAUAGUAUAGAAAAAGAUAUAUUAGCAUGGUACAACAGAUUUGCUAAAAACGAAGGAAUAUCUUUAUUAGAAGCUAAGAAACUAUUAAAUAAAAGGGAGCUAGAAGAGUUUAAGUGGAGUGUAGAAGAAUAUAUUAAAUAUGGUAAAGAAAAUGCUAUAAAUCAAAAGUGGAUGAAAGAGUUAGAAAAUGCUAGUGCAAGAGUUCAUAUAACAAGGCUUGAAGCUUUAAAGUUACAAAUACAGCAACAAGUGGAAGUGCUUUAUGGAAAUGAACUUGAUGGUAUUGAUAAAUUAAUGAGACAUAUUUAUACAAGUGGAUAUUAUCAUACAGCUUUUAAUGUUCAACAAGGAGUAAACGUUGGUUGGAGUUUAAUGAGUCUUGAUACUAAUAGAAUAAAUAAAAUUAUCUCUAAACCAUGGGCAACAGAUGGAUUAAACUUUAGUGAAAGAAUUUGGGGUAAGUAUAGACCUAUUUUAGUAAAUGAACUACAUACUAAGCUAACUCAAUCAAUUAUUAGAGGUGAAAAUCCAAAAAAUUUAGUAAAUGACUUUGCUAAGAGAUUUAAUGUAUCUAAAUCACAAGCUAAGAAUUUGAUAAU